GCUAGAGAGCUAUCAGCGCAGCGCAGCGCAGGCACCGCAAUUAGUUAACAAGAGGAUCAUGCUCAGCUCUCUGGACGCGUUGGCUGGCAAAAUAGCCAAAGCGACGCCGGGCACCGGUGCGGUGACGGCCAAUGCCACAGGCAAUAAGCCAACAAAUAAUGCACACCAUCCGGCACAUCAGCAUCAUCAUGGUACACGGCACCAGCUGGACUAUGACUAUUCAGCUGUUGAGAUCGAACCACCUGCCGAACAAUUGGCCAAUUCGCCGCGCAGCGAACGUGAAAGAUUGCAACAGGCGCAGCAUGCUUACGAACAGCAGGCGCAAGCUGAGCUCGAAUUUGGGCUGGCCGAUGUGGAUACGAAAAGCUGUCUAACACUGUUAACGCAUCGACGUAGCAGCCAAAAUAUGCACCUGCUCAAUCAUAAUGCACAGGCGGGCAAAUCGAGUAACGGUCAUGCGCCUGUCAGACAUCAGCAGCAUCAUUAUCAUCAUCCCUAUCAGCGACCGUUGCGGCCAGUCUCACCUGCGGUGCAGCAGCAGCAUCAGCAACAACAACAACAGCAGCAGCAGCAGCAGCAGCAGCAGCAACAACAACAACAAGCACAGCAACAUAGUCCGCAGACGCAGCAACAGCAGCAAUCGCCAUAUCAGCAACAAUUAUCACAUUUGGCCGCGCUGCAGGAUCAUCAUCAGGAACUGCUGCAAUCACAGCAGGAACUGUUCCACAAACAGCUGAUCAACUUGCAACAGCAACAGGAAAGAGAACGUCAGGCUGCCGUUAAUUAUAAUGAUAGCUGCAACAGCGACCACGACUCACAGCAUGAAUUCAAAAUUUGCCUGAGGGAUAGUGCAUUUGGUAUGAGCGAUAAGAGCAGCAGCGCCACCAAUAGUCUACCGAAUAGUCCUAUACAUAGCAACAAUAACAAUUCGUCGCUGCUCAACAACAACAACAGCAGCAGCAACAAUAGCAACAACAACACCAACUUGGUGGGCAGCAAUAACUCGCUAGCAGGCACCCCCUUUGGUAACGGCAAUAACAACAACAGUACCAACAACAACAACGGCAGCAGUAACAACAACAACAACAUCAUGUCUAGCAGCUUGAUGAACAACAACAACAAUUCGUGCAGCGCUAAUCGCAAUGUUGUUGUUAGCAUGGACGACGAUUCAUGCUACCGCCUGGAUCCAGACACAGCCGUUGUCACCUACGGCGAAAAGGAGCCCGACCCCGAUAACAUUAAGAUGUUUGUGGGCCAGGUGCCCAAAUCGAUGGACGAGGCGCAGUUACGCGAAAUGUUUGAGGAAUAUGGCCCAGUGCACUCGAUAAAUGUGCUGCGUGACAAGGCCACAGGCAUAAGCAAAGGCUGCUGCUUUGUGACAUUUUAUACGCGUCGCGCCGCACUGAAAGCUCAGGACGCACUGCACAAUGUGAAAACGCUGAGUGGGAUGUACCAUCCCAUACAGAUGAAACCCGCCGAUAGUGAAAAUCGAAAUGAACGCAAACUGUUUGUUGGCAUGCUAAAUAAGAAGCUGAACGAAAACGACGUGCGUAAGUUAUUUGAAGUUCACGGCGCCAUUGAAGAGUGCACAGUGCUGCGCGAUCAGAACGGCCAGAGCAAGGGUUGUGCCUUUGUCACAUUUGCGACCAAACACGCUGCCAUUUCAGCCAUUAAAGUGACCUUGAGUCAGAACAAAAUCAUGGAGGGCUGCACAUCGCCGCUGGUUGUUAAAUUUGCCGAUACCCAAAAGGAGAAGGAACAGAAGAAGAUACAGCAAAUACAGGCGAAUCUGUGGAAUUUGGCGACCAAUAUUAAUAUACCACUCGGCCAGACGCCAACCACAGUUUCCACACCGAUACUGCCAAACCCACCGCAACAACCGUCGCCGGUAAUGGGCGCCGAUGCUCUGACGCCCGCCAGCAUUCAGUUGCUACAGCAGCUGCAAACAGUUGGACUGCAGCAACAGCUGCUGCAAGCACUGACAGGCCUGGGUGCCGCUCAGCAGAAUAACUCGUCGCAGGACACAACGAACGCUGCUGCUGGUCUAUUGAAUCCGCUUUCUGUACAGAACUUGGCAGCCAUUGCCGCCAUGACGCAACCGAGCCUGACCAAUGCGGCAACUUCGCCAGGCAGCGCACAGUUGACAAACACAGCGGCACUUUUAUCAGCUCUGAUACGAAAAAAGGCGGCUGCUAAAACAACAGGGUCUGAUCCAAAUCCAUUGGCAUCGGCGUAUAUGUCAACAGCCGCUGGUUUACCGCAAUUUGGAAACACCACCGCACUGUCCACCUCACCGUUGGCCAGCGUUGCGCUGAGCGCCGCUGCGGCCGCUGCUGCGGGCAAGCAGAUUGAAGGUCCUGAAGGCUGCAAUCUGUUUAUCUAUCACUUGCCACAGGAGUUUACCGACACCGAUUUGGCUUCAACUUUCUUGCCAUUUGGGAACGUUAUCUCGGCAAAGGUGUUCAUUGAUAAGCAGACGAGUCUCUCGAAAUGUUUCGGUUUCGUUUCCUUCGAUAAUCCGGAGUCGGCACAGAUGGCCAUUAAGUCAAUGAACGGCUUUCAGGUGGGCACGAAGCGUUUGAAGGUCCAACUGAAGAAGCCCAAGGAUGCAUCCAAACCGUACUAGGAAAAAGAAAAGCGUGAGCGCUUCAAUAUGAACAGAGGAGAAGAUUUAAAAAAGAGAGUGUGGGAGAGUCAGAGAAAACCUAGAAUGGAGAAGAAUCCAGCUGCAAGAACAAACUUAACAAACUUAUAUUAACAACAACAACUAUAGCUAAAAGAGCAACAAUAAGAAAUGUUUACCCUUGAACAAAUAUACCAACUCGAACUAAAUUGUCAAAUGGAGUAGUCCAAUGAAGAGUUACCCGUGUGGAGCGCGCGCGUUUAAAGUAAACCAAAAAGUCAAGAACCCUACGUUAAUCUAAGUAAACGUUUCUUCGAGUUGCCCUAGAAUAUGACUAAUUUAAACCAAAUUAUUUCGAAGGCCAAGUAAAGUGAUGCUGCUAACGAGUCAAAAGUUGUUUGCCGUCGUUCUGUAUAGCACUUUAGUCCCAUUUAUAUUGUACAUACUAUGCUGCCCAUCAAAUUGCUGUCAUACAUAGAAAUUCGCAACAAGUGUAAAUUUUUAUAGCCUUGUACACAAAAACCGUUUGUAAAAAAAAAAAAAAAAAACAAAACAAAAAAAC